GACGAACGCUGGCGGCGUGCUUAACACAUGCAAGUCGAACGGUGAAGCGAGUGCUUGCACUCGUGGAUCAGUGGCGAACGGGUGAGUAACACGUGAGUAACCUGCCCAUCACUCUGGGAUAAGCACUGGAAACGGUGUCUAAUACUGGAUACGACCAACCCUUGCAUGGGGUGUUGGUGGAAAUAUUUAUCGGUGAUGGAUGGACUCGCGGCCUAUCAGCUUGUUGGCGGGGUAAUGGCCCACCAAGGCGACGACGGGUAGCCGGCCUGAGAGGGUGACCGGCCACACUGGGACUGAGACACGGCCCAGACUCCUACGGGAGGCAGCAGUGGGGAAUAUUGCACAAUGGGCGAAAGCCUGAUGCAGCGACGCCGCGUGAGGGAUGACGGCCCUCGGGUUGUAAACCUCUUUCAGCAGGGAAGAAGCGAAAGUGACGGUACCUGCAGAAGAAGCACCGGCUAACUACGUG
rnacentral:rRNA from 1 species